GGCUCAACUGGGACAAGUGAUUGCAUUUUUCUUCUCAAAUGGUGGGCUACAUAACAAGAAUUUAGCAUUAGACAGGUAUGCCAGUGUUGCUGCUAGUGGAAAGUGCACCAAUAUACAUGCUACUCCAGGAUAAGGUUGGCAGAUAUGCUUUGGUCAAACACUGGCAUGCACAAGGGACGAACAAACAAACGUAGACAGCCGUCAUAUCUUGCCAUCAAGAACAAGAUUUAAGAAAAGACCUGUGGCCGUGGUCAUGUAUGAUGUAGCUCAAUCACCCCAGAAACAGAAGAUGUUAUUAAAAGUAUAAGCUGAUUCCAGUUUGGCUCUGGCAGAGUGAGGGCAGAAGAGAGGACAACAUGUUGGAGGGGAAGCCAGAGAGUUAACCAGAGAUUAAAUCCUGUUGGCUCUUACCGGACAAGGACUGGGCUUUUACUCUGAGUGAGAUCAGAAGCCAUUGCUGGGCUGGGACCGGAGGAGAUACACAGCUCACAAAACACAUCAAUACAGAGAAUUCAAACUUCUGAAAAACAUAUUGGAUGAAGAAAUGAAGUCCAAAUUAAAAUGAGGAAGUCCAGUCAGAUGACGAACUUGAACACAAAGAGCAAGCCAUUGAGCACUAGUUGGCCACAGAUGUGGAUUUAAGUUUUCUAGCUGCCAAAAUGUAAAGAGGGAAACACGAUCCUCUGCAGGACUCAACAGUAUCCCUGAGAUCGAAUCUGACAAACUGCUCAGAAGGGGCACCUAUGCUUUUCCCUGAGAUGAAUGUCUCCCAUCGUCAGAUGUCAGAUUCUGGAUCUAUUUUGACAAGAGAGCUCAAAGGAUUUCUUCACAGAUGGAAAUGAGGGGUGCUAGACCUCCAGAGAGAGAAAAUGAGACACAUAAGGUGGAAAUUACUCUGUGGUGACACACUGUGGAGUCCUGCCCACAACCCGGAUACUUGGACCCACUCCACUGAAACCUUAGGCCACAGCUAAGUUCCUUCCUUCAAAAAAUAAAUCUAAGAAAGAGGAAAAACAGGAAUGACCUCCUUUCAGGCACUCUGUUGGUUUUAUGGCGCCUCUUCUUGCGAAUGUUUGUGUAAAAUUGACAUACUGUGGUCCUUUUCUGCACAAUUACGGCAAGGAAAAUUCAGAUCGCAAAGGUCCACCUUUCAUCUGCAUCUCAUUACCGGGUAGCAGGAAUAAGUAGGCUGACCCUCAGUUUGGACCGGGAACAGCUGUCGGACGUUACUGGGAGGAAUGAGGGCGAGGAAGAGAAAGACGUUAGUCCUCGGACCGUUUCCGAGAGUCAUCUCCGGGAGUAAUGCGAAGAUGGACACGCUCAGUCCUGCCUGUGCAUGCGCGUUCGCGUUGUACGGAAUUCCCAAGCCAGCUGCGUAGUUUCUGCCUUGAAGCUAUUUGGCGAGAAGUUUCGCCUGUUCCUUUACUUUGUGGGUCAGGGCUUGGGUGCUUGAGUGGGAGAAACAGAAAGCCAGCUAGCCCUGGAACCCCUUCUAAGAUCGUCAUCCACCCAGCCAUCCAUAAAUCUGUUCAUCCAUGAAACAAAUAAUCAUUGAGCACCCCUUAUAUGCCAGACACACGUAAGGAUGCAAGGGCCGCGUUCUCAUUCUAGUGGGUGGGGACAGAGAGUAAACAAAUUAUCUACUUAAUUUCAGAUAGUGGUAAGUGAUAGAAAAUAAAACGGGGUGAUAUUGUCAGAGGCGUUUGAACCAGAGCGACUCCAUUCCGAGUGAGGGCUAGGAAAAUGAAGCUGAGGCUUGCUGGGCUGCAUUCCCAGAAAGUUAGGUAUUCCCAGCCUCUAGAUGUUUACGGUUAAGGGAACAAAUUAAUAACGUUUACUAAACAGACCCAGACUUGGGAGUGUCCAGAUAUUCCGAUAUCUGGAGAAGAAAGGCAUUCCUAAUUUUGCCUUAAAGAUAACAACACUGAUUCUUGCAAAACAUAGUAAUUAAGAAAAUUAAUCCUCUAUCACAAACCCUUGUAGCAGAGCACAUCUCCUCAUAUAACAAGCAUUGUACCUAGGGUGGACGCAUUCCUCCUCUUACUUUUGGGAACGUCCUACUCUGUCUAUGGAGUAGCUGCCCUUUCACCACUGUGCUUU
rnacentral:lncRNA from 1 species